AAGGUGAUGCCUGCCCAGUGACUUCAGUUUAACGGCCGCGGUAUCCUAACCGUGCGAAGGUAGCGCAAUCAAUUGUCCCAUAAAUCGGGACCUGUAUGAAUGGCUAAACGAGGCCUUAACUGUCUCUUACAGAUAGUCAAUGAAAUUGAUCUUCCUGUGCAAAAGCAGGAAUAAGCACAUAAGACGAGAAGACCCUGUGGAACUUAAAAACUAGUAGCCACCAUGCAUAAACACUAGCCUAAUAGGUCUACAAUUACAAAUCCAAAUACUGGCUCACAUUUUUUGGUUGGGGCGACCUUGGAGAAGAAAAAACCCUCCAAAAACAAGACCACACCUCUUAACUAAGAGCAACUCCUCAAAGUACUAACAGUGACCAGACCCAAUAAAAAUUGAUCGAUGGACCAAGCUACCCCAGGGAUAACAGCGCAAUCUCUCCCAAGAGCCCCUAUCGACGGA
rnacentral:rRNA from 1 species